AGAGUUUGAUCCUGGCUCAGAAUCAACGCUGGCGGCGUGCCUCAGACAUGCAAGUCGAACGAUUAAAGCUCCCUUCGGGGAGUGCAUAAAGUGGCGCACGGGUGAGUAACACGUAAGUAAUCUACCCUCGGGUGGGGAAUAACGUUCGGAAACGAACGCUAAUACCGCAUAAUGCAGCGGCACCGCAAGGUGACAGUUGUUAAAGAUUUAUUGCCUGGGGAGGAGCUUGCGGCAGAUUAGCUUGUUGGUAAGGUAACGGCUUACCAAGGCUACGAUCUGUAUCCGGUCUAAGAGGACGGUCGGACACACUGACACUGAAUAACGGGUCAGACUCCUACGGGAGGCAGCAGUCGGGAAUUUUGGGCAAUGGGGGAAACCCUGACCCAGCAACGCCGCGUGAAGGAUGAAGUAUUUCGGUAUGUAAACUUCGAAAGAAUAGGAAGAAUUAAUGACGGUACUAUUUAUAAGGUCCGGCUAACUACGUGCCAGCAGCCGCGGUAAUACGUAGGGACCAAGCGUUGUUCGGAUUUACUGGGCGUAAAGGGCGCGUAGGCGGCGCGGUAAGUCACUUGUGAAAUCUCUGAGCUUAACUCAGAACGGCCAAGUGAUACUGCAGUGCUAGAGUGUGGAAGGGGCAAUCGGAAUUCUUGGUGUAGCGGUGAAAUG
rnacentral:rRNA from 1 species